UACAGAGGUGGCAAGCGUUGUUCGGAAUUACUGGGCGUAAAGGGCGCGUAGGCGGUUCGUUAAGUCCUGUGUGAAAUCCCCCGGCUCAACUGGGGAACUGCACAGGAAACUAGCGGGCUUGAGUUCGGGAGAGGGAAGCGGAAUUCCGGGUGUAGCGGUGAAAUGCGUAGAUAUCAGGAGGAACACCGGUGGCGAAGGCGGCAUCCUGGACCGGUAUUGACGCUGAGGAGCGAAAGCCAGGGGAGCAAACGGG
rnacentral:rRNA from 1 species